UGUGUGUGUGUGUGUGUGUGUGUGUGUGUGUGUGUGUGAGAUAUAUCUUUUAUGCAUAUAUGCCAAAGUGGAAUUGCUGAAUCAUGUGGUAGUUCCAAAUUUAACUUUUUAAGUGUUUUCUUUAGCAGCUACACUGUUUUAUAUUCUCAUUUACUGUGUACAAGUUUCUAAUUUCUCUACAACCUCAAUGACACUUAUUAUUUUAUGGUGUUUUUGUGGGGGGUUGGGAGUAGUUAGAAGCCAUCCUAAUGAAUGGGAUUACCUUUAAUGUAAUUAUUUAACUCUACCAUUUUAUUAUCUAUUCAUCUCCUCUUUUUAAAAUUAUGAUAAUGAUGGGUGGGGGUCGGGUAGAGGAAGAGGAGCUGGGGUUAGAACCCAGGGCUUCAGGCAUGCUAGGCAAGUACUUUACCAUUGAACUAAACCCCAAGCCCCUCUUCUGUUUUUUCUUUCGGAUUAAAUAGUUUAGUAUUUCAUUUUAAUUUACCUCUUGACUUUUGACUGUAUCUCUGUGCACUGCUUGUAGGGUUUUCUCUGGUACUUACACAUACUUUUCACAAUCUACUGAAAAUUAAUAUUUUUCCACCUUGUGUAAAAUAUAUGUUUUCUAGCCCUAUAUCAUAGUUGCCAUAUGAGUUAUGUUUAUAUACAUUGAAAGUCCCAUAAAAUAAUGUUAUUAUUUUUUCUUUCAACAAUCACAAAUAUUUUUAAAAACUUAAAGGGUAAACAAUAAUUUAUUAUAUUACCCAGACAUUUAUUGUUUCUGUUGCUCUUCCUUCAUUACUGAAGUUCUAGGUUUCAUUUUUUUCCAUCUGAAGAAUUUCCUUUGGCAUUUCUUUGAAGAAGAUCUAGUAAUGACAAAUUCUUAUUUUUCCUUCAUCAGUAUCUUUAUUGUACCUUUAUUUUGGAAGGAUAUGUUUACUAGACAUAGAAUCUGGGUUGACAGUUCUUUUCUUUUAGCACUUUAAAAUGUUAUUUUAUGGCCUCCUAGCCUCUAUAGUUUCUGAUGAGAGAUUCAUAAUGUCAAUCAAUUUGAGCUCAAAGACUGUAAAAUAACUUUACUUGGAGUCUUGAAAAUUGCAGUUCAGGAGGCACAGACUCAUGGUUCUGAAUGAAUGUUCCAAAGAGAGCCCUUUUUUGCAGGCCUUUUAAAAGGAAGAAGUAUAAGAUAAAGAAAAUUCCAGGCAGCUUGUACAAGCUGUUUAAAAGGAAGGUGAUUGAAGCAGAAGUUAACCUAAUUCCAGGCUAUACAUCACUAGACAUAUAUGAUGGCUUGCCAAACCUAUCUCUAGGUGACAAUUACAACUGUAACAUUCAUUAAAGGAGGAUGGUGGUUUUUGCAGACUUGGUCCAGUUCAGAAGUUCACAUUCCUGAGUUCAGUUUAAGAGUCCAUAUUUCUGGGCAGCAGCUUGAGACAUGCGUAAGUCCUGGUCCCUCAAUAGCAUAGUCUUUGUUACUUUUUGAAAUGAUUUUCUUCUUGAUAGUUUCACAGGAGUCAUUUGAAUUAUGUAAUGUGUUGAUUUUCUCUGGCUGCUUUAAGACAGUAUUUUUUUUUUUCCUUUUCAGCAAAAAAAUCAGUCUUGGGUUUCUUUGAGAUUAUUCCUUAUAGGAUUUACUGAUCCUUGUAUCUGCAAAUUUGUGAAUUCUACCGAGAUAGGGAAUUUUCAGUCAUAAUUUCUUCAAAUUCUCUAUUUGCAUCAAUUCCUUUCUCCUCUUCUGUUGGGAUUUCAGUUAAAUGAAUGUUAGACCGACCUCUCUCUCUCUCUCUCUCUCUCUCUCUCUCUCUCUCUCUCUCUUUUGGUAGUUGUAAACAGACAGAAUGUCUUUAUUUGUUUAUUUAUUAUUUUUUUAAUGUGGUGCUGAGGAUUGAACUCAGUGCCUCACACAUGCUAGGCAAGAGCUCUGCCCCUGAGCCACAACCCUAACCCAAAUGUUAGACCUUUCAAUAUUGUCCUGCAAAUCUCUGACAUUUUAAAAAUUUUUUUCUUCAACCAAGACUGGAAAUGUCUUCAUUGUUUGCUACUUUAAAAACUUCCUGCUUUUUUCCCUCUUUUGUUUAUCAUAAAUUAUUUUUAUUUUUAUCAAAAUUUGAUUAUUUCAGCAUCUGAUCAAUUUCAUGGUUUGUGUUUAUGGAUUGCUUUUUCUUUUUUUAAAAAUAUUUAUUUUUUAGGUGUAGAUGGACACAACACAAUGCCUUUAUUUUUAUGUGGUGCUGAGGAUCGAAUCCGAGUCCCACCCGUGCUAGGCGAGUGCUCUCUACCGCUGAGCCACAAUCCCAGCCCAGAUUGUUUUUUCUCUUGAGAAUUUAAUGUAUUCCUGCUUCUUUGUAAUUUUGUUCAAGUAAUUUUGGAUGAGGCUCUGGGCAUUUUUAACAUUUAUGAGAUUUUGGGCUUAGUUACAGUCUUGGGGAGAAUGCUGAUCUUUUUUGUUUUAGCAGACAAUCAAAAUGGGUAGGUUCAGACCAAAAGCCCUGGCCUACUUUCUGUUGGCUCAAAGUUGUAGUGCCUUUCUGUUGUAUCCCUGUGGUAGUCUGAAUAAUUAGAUGACUCCCCAAUUAGAUGUCCAUGACCUAUUUCCCAGAACCUGGGAGUAUGUUACCUUACAUGGUAAAAGGAACAUUGUAGACCUAAUUAAUGUAAAGACACCUAGAACCAUAAGAUAAUAAAUAUACUGUUGUAAGCCACUAAGUUUGUGCUAACUAUUUACAGCACUCGGAGGAAAUUAAUACAGGUGGUCCCCUUGUGUACCAUGAGGGGCCAAUCAAAGGACCUGGGGAUGGUCCACAUCACAGUUCAGAUUCAAAGCCUUUGCCCUUUUGGUCCUGGUCAGUUCUUCACAAGUGCAGCUCAGGAUUUCAUAGAGUAAUUUAAAGGACCUCUUUUUCCAGCCUCCUGCUCUCUGGGAUCCCUUCCCUGCUCUCAAGCUCCUUGAGCUUCUUUCCUGGUGGUCAGACUGGAAAGAGCCAAAAACUUUCAGGGAUACUUUUGAUCCUUGCCACUGCUGCCCUGACGAGACACAGUCAUUCCUGGGGUUUUUCUUCUGGCGUUCUGGCUGGCUUGAGAGUAAGCUGGGAGGUGCACGGGCUAAAGGGGCCAAUGCAGGAAAGUCCCCUCCAUGUGCGUCAUCCUACCCAAUGUAGAGGCUUUUCAAUUGAUCAGUAUGGCUUCCCUCCAGAGUUUUUAGCUGUAAUCAGUGGUAAAGAUGAACUAGAGUGUGCUUACUCCACUUCAACCAGGACCGGAAAUGUCUUCAUUCUUUGUUACUUUAAAAACUUCCUGCUUUUUUCCCUCUUUUGUUUAUCAUAAAUUAUUAACUUUUUUUUUUAACUGAACUGUAUGUUAUUUCUAGUUUAUAUUUCUUAAAUAAUUCCUAAUUUAUUUUACUACUUUGUGAGGUUUUCUAAUCCUUAUAGUUAUAUUGUUCUGUACUGUGGCUAUGCUGUUCUGGAUUAUAUUAGUCUUUUAUUUCUCAUUAUAAUAAGUCCUUUUUUGUGUUGAGAUAUUAUAGUUUUUUAUGUAUUUUGUAGGCACGUAUUUCUGGAGUGCCUUUAUUAUUCAUAUGAAUAACCUUCUUUUAAAGUUUUUUUCUUGAAAUACAUUUAUAUGGCAUUUUCCUUCAAUGCUUUAGUUGCUCGUUUUUAUAUGAAAUAUCUUGAACUUUUAGAAGGAAGUCUGGUUUUAUGGCUCAAGGGCUCUCUCUUCUGUUGCUUGUGGGAAGUGUCUUAAGUGUCUUAAUGUGUGGCUGCUCACUUCUGCAAUCUCCUGCCUUUCUUCCCUCCCCUACUUUUGUCUGGACCUCAUUUUCCUUUGUCACUUUCAUUCCUGUGUUACUCAGUUUAGAUUCUCCACCAUGUAAUUUUCUUAGUCUGGAGUUGUAUCCUGGAUAGGGCCUUGGCCUGAUUAGUUCUGAAGAGCGGGCAGGCUCAGUAUCUACAAUGUAACCCUUGCCUUCAUUCCCCUGCAGACGGGCUGUGUAGAGCCCCUGAGCAUUCCUGUGAGUACCUGGGGGUCUCAGCCCCAUUCUGUUCACUUUCCUCUGCUUCCUUCCUCACACAGGUAAUAACUUUGUACUAAAUAUGUUACUGAAAUAAAGGUUAUUUGGGGUGGGGAAUCUCAAAUUAUGUCACAUACUUAAAGGAAGCAUCAGUUAAACUGUCAGCUCUGUAGUUUAUCAUACUUUAAAUUUUAACAGAUUAUAUAUAAAAUGGAGCAAAGAAAGGAAUAACUGCCCAUACUGUAAAAAAUCAGUUUCAGAUCUUUGGAAUGUUUCUUUACAUUUAUUUUCACAUUGUUUGAACUUAAAUAUUUCAUCUACAGAAACAAAAAAGGAAAAGAUCAUCAAAAAGCCUUUUCCACCCACAUUAUCAAGAUUUUAUGGCUAGAAUUGGAUGAAACUUUGUCUGUUAACACAGUGUUAAACUAAACACAAGUAUUAAUUAGAAUGUUUUUAUGUUUUUAAUGUGAUACUUUAAUGAAAUAUUAAAAUUAAUGUGAAAAACUUGAAGUUUUAAAUAUAGGUAGGACAAGUGAUUAUUAUUUCUUAAAGCCAUCUUAAGAAGAUUAUCCUGCCAUUCAAAAUCAAUAUAGUACAAAAUGUCUAAGAGUCUUUCCUAGAAACUGUUAGGUCACACUUUUCCAACUAUUAUUGCAUAUGUGGGUUGAGUGUUUUAGCUAAUAUGUAGAAUAGUUCCUAUGUGUUCAUUUCAUUUUUUGUCCAAUUUUUAAAAAUUAUUAUAAUGUGAGUAAGACUAAAAUUUUGGGGGAUUCAAUUCCUGAGUAACAUUUAUGCUGUAUUCAGAAAAAUAUUUUGUUAACUUCAUAGAAUACUGAUUUUGCUGGGCACAGUGGUGUAUGCUGUAAUUUCAAUAACUUGGGGGCUGAGUAAGGAGGAUCCCAAGUUCAAAGCCAGCCUCAGCUACUUAGUGAGGUCCUAAGCAACUUAGUGAGACCUUGUCUCAGAAAAUGAAAAGAGUGGCCUGGCACAGUGGCUCACGCAUGCCUUUAAUCCCAGUGGCUCAGGAGGUAAAGGCAGGGGGGAUCGUAAGUUCAAAGCCAGCCUCAGCAAAAAGUGAGGUCUAAGCAACUUGGUGAGAAUCCUAUCUGAUUAUUUGAGCUUGUAUCAUAAUUUAGAAGAGAAGAAAGAUGGGGAGGGUUGUAGCUAAAUAAGUUGGAAAAACUGCUACAUUCACUUUACUAAAAUGAAUGUCAUUCCAUUUUUUACUAUAGAGUUUAUAGCAAGGAAAACCUUGUAUAUGACUAUUCAUAGCAGCAUUAUUCAUUUUAUCCAAAUGUCUAAUAACUGGUGAACAUGUGAAAAUCAGUUUUCAUAUUGUAUCCAUUUUAUAUAUCUGUAAUUAAACAUUAUUUGAUCAUAAAAAGAAAUACUGAUACAUGUUACAACAUGGUUGAAUCUUGAGAGUACUAUACUAAGUGAAAGAAACCAGGAACAAGAUCACAUAUUCUCUUGAUUCCAUUUAUAUGAAAUGUCCAUUGCAGGCAUAUCUGUAGAGACAGAAAGGAGAUUAGUUGUUGCGGGGGGCCAGGGUAGGGAGAUGGGCAGUGACUGCUAAUGGGUGCAGGUUUCUUUUUGGGGUGAUGGAAUGUGGUGCAGUGGUGGUGUUUUGUUAAAGGGCUAUGAGUUCAACUGUGAAUAUGCUAAAACCACUAAAUUGGUCUUGAAUUUGCUAUGUGAUUUAUAUGUCAACAAGCUGUUACUAAAAACAAAAGGAGGGUUAUAACAUCAAUUAAGGCAAGAAGAGAUCAGGGCUUAAAAUGAGACAGUUAUGAUAGAAAGGGACUGGGGAAUGUAGGAGGUGAGCUGAAGAGCUUCAAUGGCUAAUUUUUUUUACUGACAGGGAUACAAAAUCCCCAGGGCUGAAAUCCUCAGGAGACAGUACUAAUGGCUGCUCCAGUACACAGCUUGAAUUUGAGCAAUUGCUAGCUUCACCAAGAACAGACUGUACACAUAAUAAAUGAAGGCCCUUUAACAAAAACUGUCAUCUGUAGACAACAGGGAUGGCUAAAGCAAUGCGCAAAAUUGUGGCCUUGCUUAUACUUUUUCAUGACUCAAAAUAUUUUUUUAUGAUUGCCAGUAGGGUUGGCUAAUGUGACUGCUGCUAUGCACCAGUGCAAAGUGCCUAUGGUAGGAUACAGGACAUGUCCUUGUCUGCAAAAACUCAACCCUACUGUGUGCAUUCAAAUAGUUACUUCUAAAGAGUACUAUUUCUAAAGGAGGUGAAUGCCUAUUCAUCCACAGAGGCCUCUGUUUUCCUACUGCACCUUUCUGAAGUAGCUUGGGAAGGAGGACGGAGCUUUGGUCUUGGAGUCAUAGGAGCUAAGCAACUGCAGGGAGCCUUGGGGGCCAUGUGGUUGUCACAGGCUCUCUGGAGUCUCACUAUGCCCGAUUGGAACACUGAUGUACCGUAGACCACCUCGGCCUGAUGUCAUGGAGUCCUGUGAGCUCAGCUGUAGAAUGAGGAGGGCCACUCCUGAAGGAUAUUUUUUCUUUUCUUUUCUUUUUUUUUCCUGCAGGAUCAUUUAGCAUUAAAUUUCAUGGUGUUUAUGUAGAGAACAUGGAGCAUACCUAUUGGUUACAGGACAAGUCACUUAACUUUGCUUCCAUUGUUUCCUCAGAUCGAUUGACCAGUUGUUCCCUUCACUUCUUAAAGACUGAAGACCAGGCCCUGUGCCUUUUAAGAAAUGGAUUCACUGGCUCGGGAUGAACAUCCCUCAGACUCCUGAUAACCCGGUGCCUGCCAUCUUGCUGUUUUCGGACCUUGCAGAUCUCACUGCUCCUCAUCAGCACUUGGAAUACCCCCUUUUAGGCUGAGAGAGUUAAUUUAGUAGGUACAAGAUAUUAUCUAAUUAUUUUGAUUUUUAUUAUUUGGUAACUACAAAUGUUGAACUUUUUGUUAUGUAUUUAUUGGCCACAUUUUCUCCUAUGUAGAUCUAGUACCUGUUUUUUGCUGGAAUUAUUUAACAUUUUCUUAUUGCAUUUUGGGCUUUUUAAUAAAGAUUAAUUCUGUAUCAUAUGGUCUGCAAAUAUUUUUCCUGACUUCUUGUUUUGGCUAUGUGUUUAAAAAAAAUUAAUGAAAACACACACACACACACACACACACACACACACACACACACACACACACACUGUAAACUGUCUUCUGUUUGUGGCUGUUACAAAGGACUUUCUCAGCAUUGUUGCCAGAUCUCAUGGUUAUGCCUGGACACUCUUCAUGGUAUGUGGGCUAAUAUGGUGCACACACAUCUUCUGUGAUGAAAUGUAAUAUGUUUACUAACCAGAGUUAAGUCUAAAGUAUGCAGAUUCUUCAUAGGCUCAGAGAACAUUUCCCUUCCUUUAGAGAAAUGGGGUAGACAAGAAGGAACUAACAAAAUAAUUGCUUGAUUCCCCCCACCCCCGGGUUAUAAUUUUAGCUCUGAAUGAUGGGCAUCUUCUAGACAGUCUCCAUCCUUUCCUCUAGGACUGCUGCUCCUGAGGAUUUCAUUGCAAUUAUGUAUUGAGAAAUGUGUGGCCCACUCAUCAUGAGGCCCCAGUCAAGUUCUCAAGAGAACCCCCGCUCUCACCUACCUGACCCACCUUCUUUAAGCUUUUUCUUUCAAGGAGGCACUGGAUCUUGGUACAAUUUCAAGAUUCAGGAUGUGAGACUCUUUGCAUGGAUGGCAAUACUAGGAAACCUCCCUUGGUGAAGCAGUCUAUUAAAUCUGAACUCCUUUCCUGCAGUGAGCAAUCCCAUCUGGCAGUCUACCUUCUCUUCCUGGGAAGUCUCGCAUGGCUGUCCAUGGCAUAGUAAAUAGGUAUGUGCAGAAGGUUCGAGGAUGUAUCCAGCCAAUGGAGGAAGGCAGGGAGGCUACCCUGACUGGGUUUUAGGGUGAGAAACGAACGUUUUUCAUGAAAACAUGUGUUCUUAGGCUGAUGGUUGGAGUUGUCAUGUGGCUCUGGCACAGUUUUUAAAAAAAAAAAAAAGCCCCAGGCACA